GCUAGUCUUCGCUCCCCAUGUGCAUUAAUGAGCCUUGGACACCCAUGACCCUGAUGCUGAUUCACCAGUUGUCCUUUCUUGUACCACUUUUGGUAAGUACUAAGCAUGGCAUACUGUAACAAUCCUCAAGACUUGCCACGAUCCUCAAGACUAGCCAUCACCAUUUGGCCCUUGUUAAAGUCACUCAGAUCUUUUCUCUUGUCCAUUUUUCCUGCUUCCAACACA